GGCUAACGCUGGCGGCGUGUCUUAGCCAUGCAAGUCGAGCGGACUUAUGGGGUAACUUAUAAGUCAGCGGCGGACGGCGGAGUAACACGUAGCUAACCUACCCUCUGGACGGGGAUAACCUACCGAAAGGUGGGCUAAUACCCGAUGUAGUCAUCCUGUAUAGGGGUGAUGAAAGGUGGGCUUCUGUUUACAAGCUCAUGCUGGAGGAGGGGGCUGCGGCCUAUCAGGUAGUUGGUAGGGUAAUAGCCUACCAAGCCGAUGACGGGUAGCCGGCCUGAGAGGGUGACCGGCCCGAGGGGCACUGAGAUACGGGUCCCACUCCUACGGGAGGCAGCAGGCUAGAAAUUUGGGCAAUGGGGGAAACCCUGGACCCAGUGACGCCGCGUGCAGGAAGGAGCCCUUCGGGGUGUAAACUGCUGUCGUGUAGGGAGAAGGGUACUAAGGUGAACAAAUCUUAGUACUUGACGGUACUACAGGAGGAAGCCCAGGCUAACCUCGUGCCAGCAGCCGCGGUAAAUAGCGUACU
rnacentral:rRNA from 1 species